rnacentral:rRNA from 1 species
UACAGAGGUCCCAAGCGUUGUUCGGAUUUACUGGGCGUAAAGGGUGCGUAGGCGGUUGGGUAAGUCUGAUGUGAAAUCUCCGAGCUUAACUCGGAAAUGGCAUUGGAUACUAUUCGACUAGAGAGUUGGAGGGGGGACUGGAAUACUUGGUGUAGCAGUGAAAUGCGUAGAUAUCAAGUGGAACACCAGUGGCGAAGGCGAGUCCCUGGACAACUUCUGACGCUGAGGCACGAAAGCUAGGGGAGCAAACAGG